rnacentral:rRNA from 1 species
UAACUGGGCGUAAAGGGCACGCAGGCGGCUAUUUAAGUGAGGUGUGAAAUCCCCGGGCUUAACCUGGGAAUUGCAUUUCAGACUGGGUAGCUAGAGUACUUUAGGGAGGGGUAGAAUUCCACGUGUAGCGGUGAAAUGCGUAGAGAUGUGGAGGAAUACCGAUGGCGAAGGCAGCCUCCUGGGAUAACACUGACGUUCAUGCCCGAAAGCGUGGGUAGCAAACAGGAUUAGAUACCCUGGUAGUCCACGCCCUAAACGAUGUCGAUUAGCUGUUGGGCAGCUUGACUGCUUAGUAGCGAAGCUAACGCGUGAAAUCGACCGCCUGGGGAGUACGGUCGCAAGAUUAAAACUCAAAGGAAUUGACGGGGACCCGCACAAGCGGUGGAUGAUGUGGAUUAAUUCGAUGCAACGCGAAGAACCUUACCUGGUCUUGACAUGUACGGAACCCUCCAGAGACGGAGGGGUGCCUUCGGGAGCCGUAACACAGGUGCUGCAUGGCUGUCGUCAGCUCGUGUCGUGAGAAG